UUAUGUGAUCGUCUCUCGCAUAUCAAUAAGCGGAGGAAAAGAAACUAACAAGGAUUCCCCUAGUAACGGCGAGUGAAGCGGGAAGAGCUCAAAUUUGAAAUCUUAAAGGGUUUCCCUUUACGAAUUGUAGUUUAAAGAAGUGUUUUCUGUUGAGGUUUUGGUAAAAGUUCUUUGGAAUAGGACAUCAUAGAGGGUGAGAAUCCCGUAUUUGACCUUACUUUCAACUUUGUGAUACACUUUCAAAGAGUCGGAUUGUUUGGUAAUGCAGUCCAAAAUGGGUGGUAAAUUUCAUCUAAAGCUAAAUAUUGGCGAGAGACCGAUAGCGAACAAGUACCGUGAGGGGAAGAUGAAAAGAACUUUGAAAAGAGAGUUAAACAGUACGUGAAAUUGUCAAAAGGGAAGCGUUUGACACCAGUGUUGUUUUUCUGAAAAUCAAUUAAAGAACUGUUUAUGCUAAGUUGUUUAGACUUUAUCAGCUAACUGUUUAGUUUUGAGCUUUUCUUUAAUGCACUUUUCAGUUAACAAGUCAACAUCAAUUUCUUUUGCUGUAAAAAAGCUUGAGGAAGGUGGCUUGAGAUUCGUCUUAAGUGUUUAUAGCCUCUUGCCUAUGCAGUCGGAGAGAUUGAGGUCUGCAGCGUAGAUCCUUCGGGGCUAAAUGCAUUUGUGCUAAGUUAUAGCAUUUUAUAGACAACUUGUUGACUAUGAUUUGUCUUGUAGCUUACUCGCUUAUGUUAUUUUACCUACGCUUAGGAUGUUGAUCUACAGAGCGAGAGU
rnacentral:rRNA from 1 species